rnacentral:rRNA from 1 species
UGGCAGUCUUUUUUUCUUCUUUGGCUGUCCGAGUUGUAAUCUAGAGAAGUGCUUACCUGCGCUGGACCAUGUAUAAGUCUCCUGGAAUGGAGCGUCACAGAGGGUGAGAAUCCCGUCUUUGACAUGGACUGCCAGUGUGUUGUGGUGUGCUCUCAAAGAGUCGAGUUGUUUGGGAAUGCAGCUCUAAAUGGGUGGUAAACUCCAUCUAAAGCUAAAUAUUGGCGAGAGACCGAUAGUGAACAAGUACCGUGAGGGAAAGAUGAAAAGGACUUUGGAAAGAGAGUUAAACAGUAUGUGAAAUUGUUGAAAGGGAAACGCUUGAAGUCAGUUAUGUUGGCUAGGGAUCAACCUAGCUGUUUUUUGCUGGGUGAAUUUCCUAGUCUGACAGGCCAACAUCAGUCUUGACUGCUGGAAAAGAGCAGGGGGAAUGUGGCACCUUUGGGUGUGUUAUAGCCCUUCGUCAUAUGUGGCAGUCGGGACUGAGGGAUGCAGCAUGCCGCGAGGCUGGGUUUCUGACCACGUUCAUGCUUAGGAUGUUGGCUUUUAAUGGCUUCAAUCGACCCGUCUUGAAACACGGACCAAGGAGUCUAACAUGCCUGCGAGUGUUUGGGUGGGGAAAACCCUUGUGCACAAUGAAAGUGAAAGUUGAGAUCCCUGUCAUGGGGAGCAUCGACGCCCGGACCUGAGCUUUUAGCGACGGAUCCGCGGUAGAGCAUGCAUGUUGGGACCCGAAAGAUGGUGAACUAUGCCUGAAUAGGGCAAAGCCAGAGGAAACUCUGGUGGAGGCUCGUAGCGAUUCUGACGUGCAAAUCGAUCGUCAAAUUUGGGUAUAGGGGCGAAAGACAAUCA